CCGUGGACAGCGCAGUGCUGGCCAGGCUCAGGGAGCAGAAGGGAGCUCCAGCCUGUAGCCUGCCAGACUGCAGGCCCUGAAGGGAAGGGCCUAGCGGGUGCAAGGGGCCGUAGGGGAAGCAGUCCAGGGAAGCAGACAGACGAGGGGAGACAAGGAGGACAGCGAGGCUGCCGCCAGAGGGUCCCUGGGCCGGGACCCAGAGUAGAGGGCAGGCCUGGGUCCCCCCCGCCCUUGCAGUACCCCCAGCCGCCGGCCGUAGGGAGCGGCCAUCCCAGACUGCACCAGAUCCCUGAGGAGAGGGAUUAGACUUUGGGGCAUGUGGUUGGACAUGGUGGCUGGGGCAUCGAGAGACUGCUGAUCAACCCCCCCCCCAGAGGGGGGUGUGGAUGGACUAAGGGGCACUGACGGAGGGCAGUGGUCCUGAAAGAGGAUGCCAUGAGUUGAGAGCAACGCAGGUCCACACACCAACUGAGGGCGAGAUGACAGACGGGACAGCACCAGGAGGGGGCGCUCUACUGGACAGAGCUAAUUCCUGGAGACAACCAGCAGGAGGCACCAGGUGAUCACGACUGACCCCGAGAGCCAGGUCUUCUGAGAGAUAUCAAGGGCAGCCUCAGGAGUGGGGAGAGGCUGGAGAUGGAGACCUGCAAAGAGGCUACUGACGGACUCCAGGGAGGAACCAGACAGGCAUCCAGUCUUGAUGUGAAGACAGCCAGAGAUGAAGAAUCCACCGCUCCCACUGAUAGUUUGUUCCAAAGGUGAAUCAUCCUCUCUGUUUUUUGCCUUAUUUCUAAUUUGAAUGUGUCUGGUUAUAACCUCUAUCCAUUGGAAGUCACCUCUUGAAAUUAUUUAUGAUAAACUAAACCAGCUGAGAUCCUUCAUUUUC